AACGGAACGGAACGUAUUUGACAGCGUCUGUUUCCUGUCGAAUGUCAAUAGAAUGUCUUUGCUUGGCAGACGCUCUGUGAUGGCAGAUUCAACGUCUUAUUGUGAUUGUUUUGCGAUUGUUUUCAGAUAUUGUUGACCCCAGCUUAUCUUUACGGACUGGCACCUUCUACCACACGAUUUUACCUUGCUAAUAAUACUUGACUGUUUUGCGUUGUGAAUAAGGCGGCCAACCGUCCCGUAUUCUGCGGGACCGUCCCGUAAUGCUAGAUGUAAUCCCGCUUUGAAAGAAUUAAUAAAAUAGUCCCGUAAAACGUUAGAUGCGUCCCGCGAGUCCCGCAUACCUAUUUCUCUACUACACGACACAAUCACACGCGCACUAACAACAGCGCGAAUAAAUGAAGAUAACUUGUUUGACGAAUUGCCUCUGGAUACACUCAUUUGUCAACCAUGCUUCUUAUUAUUGAAUGAUGAGGCUGGUGAACAUGAGAGACUACUGGGGCAUAACAUGGUUUGCCUUGGUUGUGGAAAAUCGCUUAGAAAAAUAAGACACCAUAAUGUCAGUAUGGAGAGUCCAUCCUUUGCUGACUGUCCUAAUAUCACAAAAUACUAUUAAUGUGCCCUCAAGAAACAACUAUGUUUGUCAUGCGUGCUGGAUGCGGGCAAAUGGACAGGCAGGGCAGGACUUAUCACGAAACUUGCAGGAAUUGGGUUCGGACAACGAGCCGGAAUCAGCUUCAGACAAUGUGCAGGGAUUGGCUUCCGACAACAAUGCAGCAAUCCCUAAUGUUCAAGUGGUUAGCCCACCGGAGCCACCACCAUUACCGCCUGUUUUAAAUAGGCCGUUUCGAAGGGAAAGUACUUUCACAUUAUUACCCAAGUAUAAGCGAGCUUCAAUCUCAUCUGUUCACUGUAUAUUUCAACAAUGCAGAAACAGAAUGUUACAUUUAGUCCCUCUUUUCCUUAAAAGAAUAUUAUUGCAAGAGCAUAGUUUCUAUAUUUCUAUUCCUCGCAGCUGUAGGGUGUGUGAAACACAUUUGUAUAGCGAUCAGUGGCAUUUAUUACUCAAAUGGAUGGGACACAUUCUACAUUUAGUGCUGUCCAGGUAGAAGACAUAAUUAAUAUCAUGAAGUCAAAAGCUAUUUUUUUGGAUUUCGAAAAUGUCCUUUAGUACGAGAGAUGACGACCAAAACCAUGUCUCAUA